UCCCGGCGGUCCAAGUCGCAUCCACAAUUAUUAGGUCUAAAACAUCCGUAGCUUGUUUUGUAAGUCUCUUGUGAAAUCUGACAUCUCAAGUGUCAGGCGUGCAAGAGAUACUGCGAAGCUUGAGACCGGAAGACGUAACGAGUACGAUCAAGGUAGUGGUAAAAUGUGUUAAUCUUGAUCGGACUAACAGUGGCGAAGGCGCGUUACGAGUACGGAUCUGACAGUGAGGGAUGAAGGCUAGGGGC
rnacentral:rRNA from 1 species